rnacentral:rRNA from 1 species
CCUACGGGAGGCAGCAGUGAGGAAUAUUGGUCAAUGGACGAGAGCCUGAACCAGCCAAGUAGCGUGAAGGAUGACUGCCCUAUGGGUUGUAAACUUCUUUUAUAUGGGAAUAAAACGAUCCACGUGUGGGAUUUUGUAUGUACCAUAUGAAUAAGCAUCGGCUAACUCCGUGCCAGCAGCCGCGGUAAUACGGAGGAUCCGAGCGUUAUCCGGAUUUAUUGGGUUUAAAGGGAGCGUAGGUGGUUUGUUAAGUCAGUGGUGAAAGUUUGCGGCGCAACCGUAAAAUUGCAGUUGAAACUGGCAGUCUUGAGUACAGUAGAGGUAGGCGGAAUGCGUGGUGUAGCGGUGAAAUGCUUAGAUAUCACGAAGAACUCCGAUUGCGAAGGCAGUUCACUGGACUGCAACUGACACUGAGGCUCGAAAGUGUGGGUAUCAAACAGGAUUAGAUACCCGAGUAGUC